rnacentral:tRNA from 1 species
GCCGUGGUAGCUCAGUGGUAGAGCACUCCCCUGAAGAGGGAUUGGUCGUCGGUUCAAUUCCGACCCGCGGCA